rnacentral:rRNA from 1 species
AACGAACGCUGGCGGCAGGCUUAACACAUGCAAGUCGAACGCCCGUAGCAAUACGGGAGUGGCGGACGGGUGAGUAACGCGUGGGAACGUGCCCUGAGGUACGGAAUAACUGAGGGAAACUUCAGCUAAUACCGUAUGAGCCCCGAGAGGGGGAAAGAUUUAUCGCCUUGGGAGCGGCCCGCGUCGGAUUAGCUAGUUGGUGGGGUAACGGCCUACCAAGGCUUCGAUCCGUAGCUGGUCUGAGAGGACGAUCAGCCACACUGGGACUGAGACACGGCCCAGACUCCUACGGGAGGCAGCAGUGGGGAAUCUUGCGCAAUGGGGGCAACCCUGACGCAGCCAUGCCGCGUGAACGAUGAAGGCCUUAGGGUUGUAAAGUUCUUUUACCCGUGACGAUGAUGACGGUAACGGGGAAUAAGCUCCGGCUAACUUCGUGCCAGCAGCCGCGGGU